AUUCCCUAGUACGGCGAGUGAAGAGGGAAGAGCCCAAGAUUGAAAGCUGGCGCCUUCGGCGUCCGCAUUGUAAUCUCAAGAAGUGUUUUCCGCUUCGGACCAUGCCUAAGUCCCUUGGAAAAGGGCAUCAUAGAGGGUGAUAAUCCCGUACAUGGCAUGGAGCGCCCGAAGCUUUGUGAUACGCUUUCUAAGAGUCGAGUUGUUUGGGAAUGCAGCUCAAAAUGGGUGGUAAAUGCCAUCUAAGGCUAAAUAUUGGGGAGAGACCGAUAGCGAACAAGUACAGUGAUGGAAAGAUGAAAAGAACUUUGAAAAGAGAGUUAAACAGUACGUGAAAUUGCCAAAAGGGAAGGGUAGGAGGUCAGAGAUGCGUCGCAGGAUUCAGCCUUGCUUUUGCUUGGUGUUUUUCCUGCGUUGCAGGCCAACGUCGGUUUUGGGCACUGGAGAAGGGUAGGAGGAACGUGGCACCUCUCGGGGUGUGUUAUAGCCUCCUACUGGAUACAGCGACCGAGACCGAGGAACGCAGCGUACUCGUAAGAGCGGGCCUUUUGGCACCUUUAGCUUAGGGCGUUGGCAUAAUGG
rnacentral:rRNA from 1 species